UAUUGCACAAUGGGGGAAACCCUGAUACAGCGACGCCGCGUGAGCGAAGAAGUAUUUCGGUAUGUAAAGCUCUAUCAGCAGGGAAGAAGAUGACGGUACCUGACUAAGAAGCUCCGGCUAAAUACGUGCCAGCAGCCGCGGUAAUACGUAGGGGGCAAGCGUUAUCCGGAUGCACUGGGUGUAAAGGGAGCGUAGACGGCGACGCAAGUCUGGAGUGAAAGCCCGGGGCCCAACCCCGGGACUGCUCUGGAAACUGCGUCGCUGGAGUACGGGAGGGGCAGGCGGAAUUCCUGGUGUAGCGGUGAAAUGCGUAGAUAUCAGGAGGAACACCGGCGGCGAAGGCGGCCUGCUGGACCGUGACUGACGUUGAGGCUCGAGAGAGUGGGGAGCAAACAGG
rnacentral:rRNA from 1 species